CGCGUAGGUGGUUCGUUAAGUUGGAUGUGAAAUCCCGGGCUCAACCUGGGAACUGCAUUCAAAACUGUCGAGCUAGAGUAUGGUAGAGGGUGGUGGAAUUUCCUGUGUAGCGGUGAAAUAGCGUAGAUAUAGGAAGGAACACCAGUGGCGAAGGCGACCACCUGGACUGAUACUGACACUGAGGUGCGAAAGCGUGGGGAGCAAACA
rnacentral:rRNA from 1 species